CCCUUAGAUGUCCUGGGCCGCACGCGCGUUACACUGAUGCAUUCAACGAGCUUAUAACCUUGGCCGAGAGGCCUGGGCAAUCUUGUUAACGUGCAUCGUGAUAGGGAUAGAUUAUUGAAAUUAUUAAUCUUGAACGAGGAAUUCCUAGUAAACGCAGAUCAUCAAUCUGCAUUGAUUACGUCCCUGCCCUUUGUACACACCGCCCGUCGCACCUACCGAUUGGAUGGUCCGGUGAAGCCUCGGGAUUGUGGUUCUUGCCGCUUUGUUGUGGCGUGACCACGAGAACUUGUCUAAACCUUAUCAUCUAGAGGAAGGUGAAGUCGUAACA
rnacentral:rRNA from 1 species